UGCAGUUUCAGUACUACUAGGUGUGAGGAGGAGGAGGUUAGCCUUGAUGGCCAGGUGGUACCUCGGAAGGACACCUUUCGGUAUUUGGGGUCAAUGUUGCAGGAGGAUGGGGGUAUUGAUGAAGAUGUGAACCAUCGAAUCAAAGCCAGAUGGAUGAAGUGGCACCAAGCUUCUGGCAUUCUCUGUGACAAGAGAGUGCCACAAAAGCUAAAAGGCAAGUUCUACAGGACGGCGGUUCGACCCGCAAUGUUGUAUGGCGCGGAGUGUUGGCCGACUAAAAGGCGACAUGUUCAACAGUUAGGUGUGGCGGAGAUGCGUAUGUUGAGAUGGAUGUGUGGCCACAAGAGGAAGGAUCAAGUCUGGAAUGAUGAUAUACGAGAUAGAGUUGGG
rnacentral:rRNA from 1 species